ACUGGUCACACAGAUUUAAAAAAAUAAUCUUCAGUAUUUGGUCUCAACCUGGCCAUACUCAUGUGUUUCUAUAAAGCAUGCUGAACACUACAGUCUAAAUGGUUCCCCCUCCUAGUGUGGUGUCAAGUUAACAACCUGAGAGUUUUUUAAAGUGUGUUUCAGUGUUUAAACGUAUUUAACUCAUGUUAAGGUUAACGUGCAUUGUUCAGACUGACAAAAGUGCUGAAAUUACACAAAAGUGUUUGUAAUAAUUAGAUGACGGUUUUGAUUGGCAAAGGGGGAUGGGAAUGGUUGGGAGUUUCAGUGCUUCUGAAAGGGGCUGAUUAAUAGCACUGACAAGCCAGGCACAAUGCAUGCUUGUGUGGUUCAAGCGAACCCCAUACAGCUCUGCCAGGGCUUGAGUCCUAGUUUCCAUCUCGCCUGCUCUUCAGCUGCGUGAUCUCUCAUGAGCAGAAACUGCCAGUCAUGUUACUGUGAGGCAAUCCCCGCUGGACAAAAGCUGUGGUCUUUACCUGCUGAGAAGAGACUGGUUACACAACAAAGCACCUUGCCUUGAGCAACACCUAACAAGAAUCCAAGCUGAAAUGUCAAGUGCCAAAUUUUCAGCCACUCCCCAAACCGGCCUCCUUAUUUGCAAAGUACUGAUUGCGUCUGUGAAAUGAGGCACCCCUCUGGUUUGUCCAUACAGGAUCUGCAUUUGCAGUGCCUCAGUUUUACACUAACAUGACUCACCGGGGUAAUGAAGUGAAAAAUCAGGUUCACGGCCUUCAUGUGUUCUUCAGCUCCUUCUCGCUCCAAGUGUUACAACUCACCAGUAGAUUGAUAAUGGAGCAACAUGCCACAAAGGAGGCUGUGUGGGGCCACUGAGAACUAUGCAUUUUUCCAGAGGAUCACAAUUAAACGAACACCUGUGCUAAUC